ACGUGGGCAAUCUGCCCGUAAGACUGGGAUAACUCCGGGAAACCGGGGCUAAUACCGGAUAAUCCUGACUCUCUCCUGAGAGUCAGUUGAAAGAUGGUUUCGGCUAUCACUUACGGAUGAGCCCGCGGCGCAUUAGCUAGUUGGUGAGGUAACGGCUCACCAAGGCGACGAUGCGUAGCCGACCUGAGAGGGUGAUCGGCCACACUGGGACUGAGACACGGCCCAGACUCCUACGGGAGGCAGCAGUAGGGAAUCUUCCGCAAUGGACGAAAGUCUGACGGAGCAACGCCGCGUGAGUGAAGAAGGUUUUCGGAUCGUAAAACUCUGUUGUUAGGGAAGAACACGUACGAGAGUAACUGCUCGUACCUUGACGGUACCUAACCAGAAAGCCACGGCUAACUACGUGCCAGCAGCCGCGGUAAUACGUAGGUGGCAAGCGUUGUCCGGAAUUAUUGGGCGUAAAGCGCGCGCAGGUGGUUCUUUAAGUCUGAUGUGAAAGCCCCCGGCUCAACCGGGGAGGGUCAUUGGAAACUGGGGAACUUGAGUGCAGGAGAGGAAAGUGGAAUUCCACGUGUAGCGGUGAAAUGCGUAGAUAUGUGGAGGAACACCAGUGGCGAAGGCGACUUUUCUGGCCUGUAACUGACACUGAGGCGCGAAAGCGUGGGGAGCAAAACAGGAUUAGAUACCCUGGUAGUCCACGCCGUAAACGAUGAGUGC
rnacentral:rRNA from 1 species